UACGUAGGGGGCGAGCGUUGUCCGGAUUUAUUGGGCGUAAAGAGCUCGUAGGCGGCUUGGCAAGUCGGGUGUGAAACCUCCAGGCUUAACCUGGAGACGCCACUCGAUACUGCCAUGGCUAGAGUCCGGUAGGGGACCACGGAAUUCCUGGUGUAGCGGUGAAAUGCGCAGAUAUCAGGAGGAACACCGGUGGCGAAGGCGGGUCUCUGGGCUGUAACUGACGCUGAGGAGCGAAAGCGUGGGUAGCGAACAGG
rnacentral:rRNA from 1 species